GAUGAAGAACGUAGCAAAAUGCGAUAAGUAGUGUGAAUUGCAGAAUUCAGUGAAUCAUCGAAUCUUUGAACGCACAUUGCACCUCUCGGUAUUCCGGGAGGUAUGCCUGUUCGAGCGUCAUUUGUACCCUCAAGCUCUGCUUGGUGUUGGGUGUUUGUUCCGCCUCUGUGUGUGAACUCGCCUCAAAACAAUUGGCAGCCGGCGUACUUGUUUCGGAGCGCAGCACAUUUUGCGAUCCAGAUCAACGUACAGCGGCAUCCAAGAAGCCUUAUUUAACGCUCUUGACCUCGGAUCAGGUAGGGAUACCCGCUGAACUUAAGCAUAUCAAUAAGCGGAGGA
rnacentral:misc_RNA from 1 species